rnacentral:rRNA from 1 species
GGUUAAGCGACUAAGCGUACACGGUGGAUGCCCUGGCAGUCAGAGGCGAUGAAGGACGUGCUAAUCUGCGAUAAGCGUCGGUAAGGUGAUAUGAACCGUUAUAACCGGCGAUUUCCGAAUGGGGAAACCCAGUGUGAUUCGUCACACUAUCAUUAACUGAAUCCAUAGGUUAAUGAGGCGAACCGGGGGAACUGAAACAUCUAAGUACCCCGAGGAAAAGAAAUCAACCGAGAUUCCCCCAGUAGCGGCGAGCGAACGGGGAGCAGCCCAGAGCCUGAAUCAGUGUGUGUGUUAGUGGAAGCGUCUGGAAAGGCGCGCGAUACAGGGUGACAGCCCCGUACACAAAAAUGCACAUGCUGUGAGCUCGAUGAGUAGGGCGGGACACGUGGUAUCCUGUCUGAAUAUGGGGGGACCAUCCUCCAAGGCUAAAUACUCCUGACUGACCGAUAGUGAACCAGUACCGUGAGGGAAAGGCGAAAAGAACCCCGGCGAGGGGAGUGAAAAAGAACCUGAAACCGUGUACGUACAAGCAGUGGGAGCACGCUUAGGCAUGUGACUGCGUACCUUUUGUAUAAUGGGUCAGCGACUUAUAUUCUGUAGCAAGGUUAACCGAAUAGGGGAGCCGAAGGGAAACCGAGUCUUAACUGGGCGUUAAGUUGCAGGGUAUAGACCCGAAACCCGGUGAUCUAGCCAUGGGCAGGUUGAAGGUUGGGUAACACUAACUGGAGGACCGAACCGACUAAUGUUGAAAAAUUAGCGGAUGACUUGUGGCUGGGGGUGAAAGGCCAAUCAAACCGGGAGAUAGCUGGUUCUCCCCGAAAGCUAUUUAGGUAGCGCCUCGUGAAUUCAUCUCCGGGGGUAGAGCACUGUUUCGGCAAGGGGGUCAUCCCGACUUACCAACCCGAUGCAAACUGCGAAUACCGGAGAAUGUUAUCACGGGAGACACACGGCGGGUGCUAACGUCCGUCGUGAAGAGGGAAACAACCCAGACCGCCAGCUAAGGUCCCAAAGUCAUGGUUAAGUGGGAAACGAUGUGGGAAGGCCCAGACAGCCAGGAUGUUGGCUUAGAAGCAGCCAUCAUUUAAAGAAAGCGUAAUAGCUCACUGGUCGAGUCGGCCUGCGCGGAAGAUGUAACGGGGCUAAACCAUGCACCGAAGCUGCGGCAGCGACGCUUAUGCGUUGUUGGGUAGGGGAGCGUUCUGUAAGCCUGUGAAGGUGUGCUGUGAGGCAUGCUGGAGGUAUCAGAAGUGCGAAUGCUGACAUAAGUAACGAUAAAGCGGGUGAAAAGCCCGCUCGCCGGAAGACCAAGGGUUCCUGUCCAACGUUAAUCGGGGCAGGGUGAGUCGACCCCUAAGGCGAGGCCGAAAGGCGUAGUCGAUGGGAAACAGGUUAAUAUUCCUGUACUUGGUGUUACUGCGAAGGGGGGACGGAGAAGGCUAUGUUGGCCGGGCGACGGUUGUCCCGGUUUAAGCGUGUAGGCUGGUUUUCCAGGCAAAUCCGGAAAAUCAAGGCUGAGGCGUGAUGACGAGGCACUACGGUGCUGAAGCAACAAAUGCCCUGCUUCCAGGAAAAGCCUCUAAGCAUCAGGUAACAUCAAAUCGUACCCCAAACCGACACAGGUGGUCAGGUAGAGAAUACCAAGGCGCUUGAGAGAACUCGGGUGAAGGAACUAGGCAAAAUGGUGCCGUAACUUCGGGAGAAGGCACGCUGAUAUGUAGGUGAAGUCCCUCGCGGAUGGAGCUGAAAUCAGUCGAAGAUACCAGCUGGCUGCAACUGUUUAUUAAAAACACAGCACUGUGCAAACACGAAAGUGGACGUAUACGGUGUGACGCCUGCCCGGUGCCGGAAGGUUAAUUGAUGGGGUUAGCCGCAAGGCGAAGCUCUUGAUCGAAGCCCCGGUAAACGGCGGCCGUAACUAUAACGGUCCUAAGGUAGCGAAAUUCCUUGUCGGGUAAGUUCCGACCUGCACGAAUGGCGUAAUGAUGGCCAGGCUGUCUCCACCCGAGACUCAGUGAAAUUGAACUCGCUGUGAAGAUGCAGUGUACCCGCGGCAAGACGGAAAGACCCCGUGAACCUUUACUAUAGCUUGACACUGAACAUUGAGCCUUGAUGUGUAGGAUAGGUGGGAGGCUUUGAAGUGUGGACGCCAGUCUGCAUGGAGCCGACCUUGAAAUACCACCCUUUAAUGUUUGAUGUUCUAACGUGGACCCGUGAUCCGGGUUGCGGACAGUGUCUGGUGGGUAGUUUGACUGGGGCGGUCUCCUCCUAAAGAGUAACGGAGGAGCACGAAGGUUGGCUAAUCCUGGUCGGACAUCAGGAGGUUAGUGCAAUGGCAUAAGCCAGCUUGACUGCGAGCGUGACGGCGCGAGCAGGUGCGAAAGCAGGUCAUAGUGAUCCGGUGGUUCUGAAUGGAAGGGCCAUCGCUCAACGGAUAAAAGGUACUCCGGGGAUAACAGGCUGAUACCGCCCAAGAGUUCAUAUCGACGGCGGUGUUUGGCACCUCGAUGUCGGCUCAUCACAUCCUGGGGCUGAAGUAGGUCCCAAGGGUAUGGCUGUUCGCCAUUUAAAGUGGUACGCGAGCUGGGUUUAGAACGUCGUGAGACAGUUCGGUCCCUAUCUGCCGUGGGCGCUGGAGAACUGAGGGGGGCUGCUCCUAGUACGAGAGGACCGGAGUGGACGCAUCACUGGUGUUCGGGUUGUCAUGCCAAUGGCACUGCCCGGUAGCUAAAUGCGGAAGAGAUAAGUGCUGAAAGCAUCUAAGCACGAAACUUGCCCCGAGAUGAGUUCUCCCUGACUCCUUGAGAGUCCUGAAGGAACGUUGAAGACGACGACGUUGAUAGGCCGGGUGUGUAAGCGCAGCAAUGCGUUGAGCUAACCGGUACUAAUGAACCGUGAGGCUUAACCUU